rnacentral:rRNA from 1 species
UGGGUAACCUGCCUCAAAGAGGGGAAUAGCCUCCCGAAAGGGAGAUUAAUACCGCAUAAUAUGUUUAAGUCGCAUGACUUUAACAUCAAAGGAUUUUCUUUUAGAAAUUCCACUUUGAGAUGGACCCGCGGCGCAUUAGCUAGUUGGUGAGGUAACGGCUCACCAAGGCAACGAUGCGUAGCCGACCUGAGAGGGUGAUCGGCCAC